AAUUAGAAAAUUAGCUGAAUGUGGACUUUCAUCUGAGGAGCACAACAAAAAGAGCAAGGUCAGCUUUCUGCCUGGUUCAUGGCAAGCCAGCACUGAAAGGCAGUAUCAUCCAUCAUUUAGCUGUUUUUCCUCAAAAACUGCAUGGGUUCUUCACUUGUUCUGACAUCCUAGUGCUGGCAGAACGUCACUGAAUUACUUGAGGAAAUCAAACUGUUGCCACAAAUCAACAGGCUCUGAGCACCUUUCUGGUGCAGUACUUCAGGGCAGUUUGGUCAGAUAGCCUGUUCCUCCCU
rnacentral:lncRNA from 1 species